rnacentral:tRNA from 1 species
GCUCCCUUAGUGUAGUCCGGUCAAGCAUGCGGGCUUCUCGAGCCUGUGACCCGAGUUCAAAUCUCGGAGGGAGCA